rnacentral:rRNA from 1 species
CGUUCCCGGGCCUUGUACACACCGCCCGUCACGUCAUGAAAGUCGGUAACACCCGAAGCCGGUGGCCCAACCCUUGUGGAGGGAGCCGUCGAAGGUGGGACUGGCGAUUAGGACG